rnacentral:lncRNA from 10 species
GGCUCCGUGAGAGGGUGUGGUUUCUGUGUGUGUGUGUGUGUGUGUGUGACAGACCGAGAGUCCAGUGUGAGACCAGGGUAUGUUCGUGUGUGACAGAGCGAGACGGGCCAGUGUGAGAGACCAGUGAGUGUGAGAGAGAUAGGGAUGUGCCUGCAUUUGAAAGAGAGCGUGUGAAGCUCAGUGAGAGGUUGCGAGGUGUGUGGGUGUGUAAGUGUGUAACAGACCAGGUGUCCAGAGCGUGAGACCAGGAUGUAUUCGUGUGAGAGAGUGAGACGGGCUGGAUGGAGUGUGAGAGACCAGUGAGUGUGAGAGAUGGGCGUGUGCCUGUGUGUGAAAGGCCGGUCGGUCGGUGGGUGAGGCUCAAUGAGAGGCCGGUGUGUGUUCGAGAGAGAGAAGAAUCACCAUGUAUGCGAGACUAGACUGUGCAAGAACAGAGUGUGAGACUGUGGUAUGUUAAUGUGUGAAAGGGAGACCAGUGAGUGUGAGAAAUGGGUGUUUUGGGUGAAAGACCCGUCAGUGUGUGAGGCCGUGUUAUGUGUGUCUGACAGACUGAGAGAGACCAGAGUGUGAGACCAGGGUGUGUUCGUGUGUGAGAGACAACAUAGCGUGAGACCAGUGAGUGUGAGAGAGAUGAGCACGUGGCUGUGUGUGAAAGACCAGUCAUUAUGUGAGGCUCCUUGAGAGGCUGGUGUGUGUGUAUGAGAGAGAGAAAGAGACUAAACUGUGAGAGUCCAAAGAGUGAGACUAGGUUAUGUUGUUAUGAGUUUGUGAGAGAGAGGGAGGCGAUCAAAGUAUAGGACAAAGUUAUGUUUCCUGGCUUACGACUUCUAAGAUCCUUGGAAUCUCCAAAGUAUUAAGUGUCUUUUUGCAUGCUAAUGAUUGGUGGGCUGGCAGCCUGUAGGUUGAUCACGGUAAGGGAUGGUCACAAGAACAAUCUAGGCAGGAUUAGAGGGUUGGGAUUACCUGCCCCAUCCCUCAAUCUCCAGGGAAAGGAAAGGGAGCCACAGGUUAAACUGAUCAUCAGUGGUCAGUGAUUUAACCAGUCAUGCCUACAUUAUGAAGCUUCCAUAAAAACCCAAAAGGACUGGGUUCAUCAAACUUCCAGAUAGCUGAACACUGGAGGUUCCUGUAGGAUGAGCCCCUUCCUAUAUAACCUUGUCCUAUGCAUUUCUUCACCUGCAUCCUUUGUAAUAUCCUUUAUUACUACAAACGUGUUUCCCUAAGUUCUGUGAGCUGCCCUAGCAAAUUAAUUGAACGCAAGGAGGGGGUCAUAGGAACCCCGAUUUAUAGCUAGUCAGAAGCACAAGUAAAACAACCUGGGGUUUGCAACUGGCAUUGGAAGUGGGGAGCAAUUUUGUAGGGCUGAGCCCUCAACCUGUGGGAUCUUAUGCUGUCUCCAGGUAGAUAGUGUCAGAAUUGGGUUGCCCUAGAGGUCACCCACCUGGUAUUCACUGGGUUGCCCUAGAGGUCACCCACCUGGUAUUCACUGAAGAACUUAUUGCUUGCCUGGUGUGUGUGUGUGUGUGUGUGUGUGUGUGUGUGUGUGUGUAGAUCCCCACACAUCUGGUCUUAGAACUGUUUUGUGUUGUGUGAGUGGAGUAGGAGAAACAGUUUGUUUUUCCUCUUUGUCACCUGAGUGUGUUAUCAGGGACUGGAUUGUGAGAAUCCAGAGUGUGAGACCAGGGUAUAUCAAUGUGUGAGAGAAAUAGAUGUGCCUGUGUGAAAGAUGAACAAGUAUGAGGCUCCCUGGAGUCUGAGAAAGAUCAUGUGUGUGUCUGAGUAAAAGCAAGAGACUAGACUGAGAGUUCAGUGAUUGGGAGAGACUGGGGUAUGUUGGUGUGAGUGUGUGAGAGACCAAUGGGUAUGUGAGAGACUAGAGUAUGUCUCUGUCUGGACUGGUAGGUUGUGAGAGGGUGUAUCACAGUAUGAAAAAGAUUGGAGUGAGAGUGACCAGUAUGUAUUUUGUGUGCAUGAGAUAAAGCAGUUGGAAUAUGAGAGAUCAGAGUGUGUUUGUGUAUCUGUGUGAGACACUGGAGCAUUUGAGUAACUGAGGCCUCUUUGAAAGAUACCAUUGAAUGUGUAUGUAUGAGAGACCAUCAUGUUUAUAUGUGUGAAAGAGGGAGAGAAAGACUAGUGAUGUGGUUGUGUGAGAGACCAAAAUGGGUGAGAAAGAAACUAUGUGAACCAUGGUGUGUUAUCCAAAAGGCUUUACAAAUAUAACCUCUGUGAGGUUGUGAAGCAUGCAUGUGUGAGUGAGACAGAGAUAAGGGACAGUGAGCUGUGUGUGUGAGAGAAGUAAGAUUGGGGGUAUGUGUGAAGGUGUUGGUGAAUCACCACGUGUGCUUAUAUUCAUGUCCUCAGGCAAUGGAAAUGUGACUGUGUAUAUGUGCUUGUUUUGGGGUGCUUGUGAUUGUGUCCUCCGUGUGACCAUGAAACCUGUGUUAGUGUUUGUAUGUCACCCUGUAUACCCAUAAUUGUGGCCCUGUAUGACUGCUGUGUAUGGAGAGACUACUUGGAAGAUUGAUAGGAUUGGAUUCUUUAUGAGUGUGGCUGUUUGGAAUUGUGUGUUGCCGGGAUAGGAAAUGUGGAAUAGAAUUCCUGUCCCCAGUCCAAGGGUUUCAGUAAGAAGCAAAGCUGGGGUGACUGAAGCUCCUAACUGAAGCAGGAGACACCCUCACUUCUGUGUGACAGGAGGGUAAUUAAGGGGCUGGGACAGAGGUGAGAGUGAAAGUGGCAGAAUUGAGUGCUAAAGGUUCCAUCGUUUCAGGCCUUGCCCUCCCAAGACACUGUUCUUCAAGAGAAAGACCAGAAGAGAAGGCAAAAAUGAAUGUUGAAGUAGUAAAAGUCAUGCCCCAGGACUUAGUGACAUUCAAGGAUGUGGCAAUAGAUUUUUCCCAGGAAGAAUGGCAAUGGAUGAACCCUGCUCAGAAGCGUUUAUACAGGAGUAUGAUGUUGGAGAACUAUCAGAGCCUGGUAUCACUUGGUCUUUGCAUUUCUAAGCCAUAUGUGAUCUCCUUAUUGGAGCAAGGGAGAGAGCCUUGGGAGAUGACGAG